rnacentral:rRNA from 1 species
CCCCGGAAGGCUCGUCCGCGGGGGGUUAGUCGGGACCUAAGGCGAGGCUGAAAAGCGUAGUCGAUGGACAACAGGUUGAUAUUCCUGUACCGAUAUUUAAUUGCCGAAGGAAGGACGCAGAAGGAUAACACAGGCCACUAUUGGAUGUGGUUUUAAACAGUUAGUCUUCAUAAGAGUCAAAUGCUUUUAUGUUUAAGGAUAAGCUGUGAAUGUACCAAGUUUACUUGGAAAUUGUGUGAUUUCACGCUGCUGAAAAAAGUUUCGUAGGAAGAAAAUAUUGCCCGUACCGCAAACCGACACAGGUACUCGAGUGGAGAACACUAAGGUGAGCGAGUGAACUAUUGUUAAGGAACUCUGCAAAAUGAGUCCGUAACUUCGGAAGAAGGACUGCUGGUUUUAUACCAGCCGCAGCAAAUAGGCCCAAACAACUGUUUAUCAAAAACACAGGUUUCUGCAAAAUCGUAAGAUGAAGUAUAGGGGCUGACGCCUGCCCAGUGCUGGAAGGUUAAAAGGAGGACUUAGCUUCGGCGAAGGUCUUAAUUGAAGCCCCAGUGAACGGCGGCCGUAACUAUAACGGUCCUAAGGUAGCG